rnacentral:misc_RNA from 1 species
UACGGAGGGUGCGAGCGUUAUCCGGAAUCAUUGGGCGUAAAGAGCUCGUAGGCGGUUCAGCAAGUCGGCUGUGAAAGUCCGAGGCUCAACCUCGGAAUUGCAGUCGAUACUGCUGUGACUCGAGUCCGGUAGAGGAGAACGGAAUUCUCGGUGUAGCGGUGAAAUGCGCAGAUAUCGAGAGGAACACCAGUAGCGAAGGCGGUUCUCUGGGCCGGCACUGACGCUGAGGUACGAAAGCAUGGGGAACAAACAGG